GUCUUAUUGAUUAUAAUUUUAAGUCUAAUCUGCCCAGUGAUUUAUUAAAUGGCUGCAGUAUUUUAACUGUACAAAGGUAGCAUAAUAAUUAGUUUCUUAAUUAGAAACUGGAAUGAAAGAUUGAACGAGACAAUAACUGUCUUAAUUUGAAUUUAAGAAUUUUAUUUUUAAGUUAAAAAGCUUAAAUUUUUUUAAAAGACGAGAAGACCCUAUAGAAUUUUAUAUUAUUAUUAUAUUUAAAUUUUAGUAUAUAAAUUUUAAAUUUUUUUAAAGGUAUUUAGUUGGGGUGAUUGGAAAAUUUAUUUAACUUUUUUUAUUCUAAAUCAUUUAUUUAUGUUUUUUUGAUCCAAAAUUUUUGAUUAUAAGAUUAAAUUACCUUAGGGAUAACAGCGUAAUUUUUUUAGAGAGUUCUUAUCGAUAAAAGAGAUUGCGACCUCGAUGUUGGAUUAAAGUUAAUUUUUAAUGUAGAAGUUAAAAUAUUGGGUCUGUUCGACCUUUAAAACUUUACAUGAUCUGAGUUUAAAUCGGCGUGAGCCAGGUUGGAUUCUAUCUUUAAUAAGCUUUAAUAUUUUAGUACGAAAGGACCAAGUAUAAUUUAUAGUAAAUUUUAUAGAAUAAUAUUAUUGUUUUGGCAGAUUAGUGCUUUAAAUUUAGAAUUUAAAUAUGUGAUAUUUUUACAAAUAAUAAUGUUUAUAUUGGAUAUUUUAUUGUUUUUUCUUAGAUCUUUGUUAAUAAUUAUUUGUGUUUUAGUGGGAGUGGCUUUUUUAACGUUAUUAGAACGUAAGGUUCU
rnacentral:rRNA from 1 species